rnacentral:rRNA from 1 species
UACGAGGGGACUAGCGUUGUUCGGAAUCACUGGGCGUAAAGCGCACGUAGGCGGAUUUGUAAGUCAGGGGUGAAAUCCCGGGGCUCAACCUCGGAACUGCCUUUGAUACUGCGAAUCUUGAGUCCGAUAGAGGUGGGUGGAAUUCCUAGUGUAGAGGUGAAAUUCGUAGAUAUUAGGAAGAACACCAGUGGCGAAGGCGGCCCACUGGAUCGGUACUGACGCUGAGGUGCGAAAGCGUGGGAGCAAACAGG